UGGCUUAGGAUGAACGCUAGCUACAGGCUUAACACAUGCAAGUCGAGGGGCAGCAUGGCGGAAGCUUGCUUCCGCUGAUGGCGACCGGCGCACGGGUGAGUAACGCGUAUCCAACUUCCCCCUAGCAGGGCAUAGCCCGUAGAAAUGCGGAUUAACACCCUAUGUUGUGUUUUGAGGACAUCUGACGAACACUAAAGUUUCACGCUAGGGGAUGGGGAUGCGUCCGAUUAGCUUGACGGCGGGUAACGGCCCACCGUGGCCACGAUCGGUAGGGGUUCUGAGAGGAAGGUCCCCCACACUGGAACUGAGACACGGUCCAGACUCCUACGGGAGGCAGCAGUGAGGAAUAUUGGUCAAUGGGCGUAAGCCUGAACCAGCCAAGUAGCGUGGAAGGAAGACGGCCCUACGGGUUGUAAACUCCUUUUAUGCGGGGAUAAAGUGCAGCACGUGUGCUGUUUUGCAGGUACCGCAUGAAUAAGGACCGGCUAAUUCCGUGCCAGCCGCUGC
rnacentral:rRNA from 1 species